UACUCCUUAACAGGGACCAUUUAAAGUCUAUCAUCUAGUGGACAUGACCAUAAAAAAAUUUUCCCACUAGGUUUUCUUUCUUUCUGCUACUUUGCUAGCAUUCAGCCUAUUGGGAACAUUU
ensembl:snoRNA